UUGUUAUAGAUGUGUUUCGAUAUUUAUUUGGAAUCCGGAAGCUUGAACGACGUGCAGGGGGCCGAAUCUUUCGAUCGCGAGAAGUUCUUUCUUCGCGUUAAAAAAGGACGAGAUCGAGGUUUACCUCUGAGGUACGAUUCAAGUCGGGGAUUAUUCACGCAAAGAUGACAAAAGUCACUCACAUCAUGAGCUGGAAGUUAUUUUACCUUCAAUUAUUGUUGAAUCAGUCAAAUACCUUUUGCAAUUGUCUUUGAUUAAAUCAACUCCUUUUUAUGGACUUG